CAUACAUUAUACAGUAAGCACUACGCAAUUAUAAAUAACCUUUAAUCUCCUUCAAAAGCAAUCACUAAGUAGCCCAAUCAGAUCAAAGCUGCCAAACAUUGGCUUCAACCAAACAUGGGUUGUAAGAUGAUCUCUAUGCUUUCGAUACUUGUUCUACUUCUGUCACUUUCACUACUCUUGCUUGCAUCUUCAACCACCAGCACUCGCGUUGGAAAGAUGGGGAACCGAGAGAUCCGGAGAAAUUUGAUAUAUGGAGGACCAAAAGGAGGACAUGAUCAUCCAAGCAGUGGUAAUGUAUGCCGAGGUCCUCGUGGUGGCUGCGGCUGAUAGUAUAGAGAAGAAAACUUAUACUUCACAAUAUAAUACUUUUAUCAUUAAGUUAAAAAGACGUUGGUAGCAAAAAAGAAAACUUUACUAGAACAAGCCAAACCUAGGGUUAUAGUUAACGUUUUGUAGGUCGUAUUUGUACCGUAUUUCUACUUUAGUAUUUCAUAUCAAUACCAUCUUAUAUUUCUUUU